rnacentral:lncRNA from 1 species
AGUGGCCGCAAUAUCUGCAGUGGAUACAACGGCGGCCCUGGCUGAGGGAGACGGAGGGAGGGACAGGGUGGUUGGUAGCUGCCAUGUAAAAAGGAGCCAUCCUCAGCACACCCGUGAGCACAGCCUGCAGCCUGUAGGCCACUGUCCCUGGGGUGGUGAGUUCAGACACCAGAGGCUUCACGAUCAAUCGAUCUGGUGGGCACAGGUCUUUCUUGCUGAGCUGCUGUCUCCGCUUCCCCUCCCCCACCCUGCCCUGUGCCCUAUGGCUCUGGUGGCCUGUGGCCAGGGUGGGUGGGGAGCGGCUGGGCCUCCUCCAGAAUGUGGACACCGCGGGGUGAGGUAGUAGGUUGUGUGGUUUCAGGGCAGUGAUGUCGCCCCUCCGAAGAUAACUAUACAACCUACUGCCUUCCCUGAGGCGCCCAGGGACACGUCCACAUGGAGGCCCAGUAAGCCACACGGAGCCACAGAUUGAUUGGGGACUGUGGUGUGGGUCCUGGGUGUAAAUAAAGGUUGUUUCUGAUAUGAACUUAACAA